UAUACGUAGAUGUGAACUCGUGAAUGUGCUUGUGUUAUCCAAAGUAUCAUUGUAUUAUACAAAGCAUUUGUUUUGUUUUUUUCAGAUAGUUCGGGCAUUUGUACAGUCUGCUACAAGAAGAUGUCAGGGAAGAAAAAGGCAAGUGCUAAUGAUAUUUUAUCUAAAGCAACAUUCUGCUGUCAGAUUAAAGCCAAGUACACAUCAGACGAUUCUUUUAUCACAGAUUGGUCCAGGGAGUCAUUAAUAUAAUCCUUGGGUGAGGAGUGAAUCGGCAGUUAAAGAAUCGUUUGAUAUGUACCUGGCAUAACUAUUUAUCAUGCAAAAUCUUUUGCAGGAGACAUGCUCAUUCUGCUCUACAGAAAAGAGUCCAAAACCAGGUAGGACAGCACACACACAAACAGACAGGUUUGUUUACGGAGGCUACUCUUAGUUGGCCCCAGCGUUGUUACUGAUGUUAGUUGGAUUGCAGUGGCUAGACAUACUGUAUCUUAUAUUCUAUUUAUGCACGUUACAUUACACAAGCAAUGUAAUGUUUCAUACAGCGCCCAACAAAUUUGUAGGCACCCCUGUUAAAGGUGACUGAAAAACUUAUUGAAAAUCACAAUUUGAGAAUGUCACAUAUUUCCAAUGUAGAUUCUUUUCAUGUAUUAACAGAGGCAGAAACAGCUGAGAUGGAGACUGCAGAGGCAGUUGAAGUAGCAAAAACAAAGGUGGAGGUUGUUGCAGAUACAUCAGAUGCAGAGGAAGAGGAGGAGGCGGCGGCAUCGGAGAAAAAGGAUGGAUUCUAUGUGGACAGCCUGUUGAAGGUGGCGUCUUCAAAGAAAGCUAAAAGAGGAGUGCCAAGGUCUUGCUAAAGACCUAGGAUAUUUGACCAAGGAAAUACCCUUCAAAAUCAUAGGCCAGCAGCUGGCCGAGCGAGGCUGCAGAAGAGAGGAUCAUGACUUGAGGUAAAAUAUGCAUACAGAUAUCUUUUUCCUUCCACUUUUUAAGUCUUU
ensembl:lncRNA